CUCAUUGUAGAACCUUCUUUUCAAAAAGAAUCUUAGCCUUGAGAUCUAAGACCAACAUCUUGAUUUGGACUGCGCGAUCAACUCCUUGAUCUGCAGCCUUCUUCUUUUUCUUCUCGAUCUUCACUCUUGAUGAUAAAAUAGCAUCACCUCUUGGCAUGUAGAAAGGGGAUGCCCAACUCUUGGGUGUGGAAGAGAAGAGAGGGAGGAAAGGAGGCAUGGAG
rnacentral:lncRNA from 1 species